rnacentral:snRNA from 1 species
GUGCUCACUUCAGCAGCACAUAUAAUAAAAUUGGAACGGUACAGACAUUAGCACGGCCCCUGUGCAAGGGUGACAUGCAAGUUCAUGAGGCGUUCCAUAUUUUU